rnacentral:tRNA from 2 species
GGAGAGGUGCCUGAGUUUGGUUGAAAGGGGAAGUUUGCUAAACUUCUAUAGGGUGUAAUAACUCUAUCGAGGGUUCAAAUCCCUCCCUCUCCG